UGUUCCACAUUGAUAAUCAUUUUGAGAAUUGAUAUUUUUAAAAUUUAACUAGGUGUUUUAUUUUAUCCUUUUCUUCAGGUUUGAAGUUGAUUGUGUAGCUUUUAUUCUAUUUUUAAGCUUUGUAAUUGUGUGAGGGUGUCCAAUGAAAAAAAUCAUUAAAGAGGACUUCAACACAGUUAGAAUUGUUUGCGAAGACCCAUAAACAUAAAGAUGAGACAUGGGUGGAUAAGAAAUCAAAACAUGUUGAGGAUGAAUUUAAGAAUGCUAUAGAACAGGCUACACAAAAAACGUCUGAAGAAGGAAGUAAUGUAACACCC